ensembl:lncRNA
CCUACAUCACUCUCUCCUGCUGUUCUCUCUGUGUUGUCAUUUGUUGGAUCAUUCUGUUUUGUGGUUCUACUGGUGUUACUGGUUCUGCUGGUGAGACGAUGUGUUCACAGGAAACCUGAAGCUAUACAACAAGAAGCUGCAAAUGAUAAUUUCACAGACAUCACAUAUAGUGACAUCAAAUCAUCACAUCAUCAGCAAAGGGCAAUCAAACACCUCAGAGACAUUGAUACAGCUGUGGUGUACUCAACAGUGAGAACUGAAGAUGUCACUUAUGGACAAAUAGCCAUCAAACCAAAGAAGACCAGAGGAAACAAGCAUGAUACAGGAAACAGCAAAGGCAUCAUUUGAUACUGUGAACUGCACAGCAGAGCUUCAGUGCAGGAUGUGUCUGUUUGAGACUGAAACACUUUAUGUCCUUGGACACUCAGAACCCAACCAGCAGCAGAGUCCUGAAUGUAAAACCAAAGCAGCAACUUCACUACAGUGUUUUCUAUUUUGGUUAAUAAUAGCUUUCAUGCUGUGAGAACAUGUUUGCUUUGUGCUUUGUGGUGAAGUGCAUCAGUUUGUAGAAACGGAAAAUAAAAGCUCUGUGGUCG